rnacentral:rRNA from 1 species
UAGCGUAUAUUAAAGUUGUUGCGGCUAAAAAGCUCGUAGUUGGAUUUCUGUUGAGGACUUCUGGUCCACUCAAUGAGUGUGCAUCUAGCUUGUUCUCGGCAUCCGCUCUGCAUACGUGUCUGCGCUUGAUUGCGUGGCGCGGAGGUAGGGCCUUUUACUUUGAGGAAAUUAGAGUGUUCACGGCAGGCUUUCGCCUUGAAUAUAUUAGCAUGGAAUAAUAACAUAGGAUCUUGGUUCUAUUUUGUUGGUUUCUAGGGCUGAGAUAAUGAUUAAUAGGGACAAUUGGGGGCAUUCGUAUUGCGGUGUC